rnacentral:rRNA from 1 species
UACGGAGGGGGCUAGCGUUGUUCGGAAUUACUGGGCGUAAAGCGCACGUAGGCGGAUGUUUAAGUCGGGGGUGAAAUCCCGGGGCUCAACCCCGGAAUGGCCUUCGAUACUGGACGUCUGGAGGUCGGGAGAGGCGAGUGGAAGUCCGAGUGUAGAGGUGAAAUUCGUAGAUAUUCGGAGGAACACCAGUGGCGAAGGCGGCUCGCUGGUCCGAUACUGACGCUGAGGUGCGAAAGCGUGGGGAGCAAACAGG